GCAGGCUGCGGGAGCCAGAAGCAGCACCCCGCUGGGGUCCCCUUGCACGCUGUGGAAGCUUUGUUGUUUUGCUCUUCGCGAUAAAUCUUGCUGCUGCUCACUCUUUGGGUCCAUGUUGCCAUUAUGAGCUGUAACACUGUGAAGGUCUGCAGCUUCACUCCUGAAGCCAGUGAGACCAUGAACCCACUGGGAGGGAUGAACAACUCCGGAAGGGAUGAACGAACAACUCCAGACACGCUGCCUUUAAGAGCUGUAACACUCACCUCGAAGGUCUGCAGCUUCACUCCUGAAGCCAGUGAGACCACAAACCCACCAGAAGGAAGAAACUCCAGACAUAUCUGAACAUCUGGAGGAACAAAGUCUGGACACACCAUCUUUAAGAACUGUAACACUGACUGUGAGGGUUUGUGGCUUCAUUCUUGAAGUCAGCGAGACCAAGAACCCACCAAUUCUGGACACAUUUUGGCGACCAUGAAGAGACUAUCACCUGUCGCCAAGUGGUGAGACUAUCGCCAAGUGGUGAGACCAUCGCCUAUUGCUGAGCGGUGAGACUGUCGCCUAUUGCCAAGCAGGGCAACACUUUCAGUUUAGAAAACAGUGGAACAUGUGAGAGAACACGCCAAGACAGACGCCUGACCAGUGAGCCAACACAAAGAAGAUUUGUGCAACAUUUUCCUUAUGAAAGCUGAUUUCUGGGCUUUAUCUGUCCUGGCAAAGAGAAUCAGACUGCUGGAUGACAUUUAUUUUUAUUAAAAUUGAGCAAACAGCAUUCAUAAGUUGAUGCAUACGCUGCUGAUGCAUCCGUGUAAAACAAAUAAACAGUAAGUCAGAGAACAGGAUGUAAAAGCAACAGCAAAAAAUCCUUCAUGCC
rnacentral:lncRNA from 1 species